CCUACGGGUGGCAGCAGUGAGGAAUAUUGGUCAAUGGGAGAGAUCCUGAACCAGCCAAGCCGCGUGAGGUAAGACGGCCCUAUGGGUUGUAAACCUCUUUUGUCGGAGAACAAACCCGGGACGUGUCCCGGACUGCGUGUAUCCGAAGAAAAAGCAUCGGCUAACUCCGUGCCAGCAGCCGCGGUAAUACGGAGGAUGCGAGCGUUAUCCGGGUUUAUUGGGUUUAAAGGGUGCGUAGGCGGUCCGUUAAGUAAGCGGGAAAAUUGCGGGGAUAAACCCCGUCGAGCCGUUGAAACUGGCAGACUUGAGGUGAGGAGAAGUAGGCGGAAUGCGCGGUGGAGCGGGGAAAUGCAUAGAUAUCGCGCAGAACUCCGAUUGCGAAGGCAGCGUACCGGCGCCAGACUGACGCUGAGGCACGAAAGCGUGGGGAUCGAACAGGAGUAGAUACCCCAGUAGUC
rnacentral:rRNA from 1 species